AUUUAAAUUCGUUAGUAUUCGAGUGAUCUAAUCCAAAUUAAUAUUUCAGCGACACUAGUUCCUUCUGGCAAAGGCAAAUACCCGCUUCUAAUGUACAAGUGCCACACAUUCACGUAUAAAGUGUUGUCCAAAAGCGGUGUCCUGUGGCAUUGCUCCCGCCGAACGACCACCGGUUGUAAAGCUUUCAUACGAUCCUUGCCUGACCGGCUCGAUGUUAUACAACAGAAAUUAAAUACCUUCCAACUGGAAAGAAGUACCCGGUGAUGGUGAUCCAGAACCAUGUGUACAAACGAGUGAAGCAGAACAGCUCCGGCAGGGUGUUCUGGAGAUGCGUCCUGGUCCACCGGACGGGAUGCAAGGCCUACUGCCUCGUCGACGACCAUGAGAUCGACAUGGGCAACGAUCACAACCAUGACCCACCAAAAAGCAGAACCAAGACUGGUCGAUGGCAAAUACCAAAUAUUAAUGUUAAGAAAUUAUAAAAUGUUUUAUUUUAA